rnacentral:sRNA from 1 species
AGUCUGCAGACUAUGCAUGUAUAAAAGUUGUUUUUUUAUGUUGUGCAGACUAUCUACAGAUACGGGUUAUACUAUGCACUAAUUUUUGUUUCUAGAUCCUUCGUUAGCACCAGACUGGUCUGAUUGGCUUGCAGAUUUUCAAAUGUUUUAUGCCGGGAUUAAGAAGUGAACGUCACACUUUCAAUCUGUUGCUCAGGCUUUCUAUGCCUUGCGUGUGACACACUGCUUGCUUGGAUGCCUGCAAGCGGUCAAUGUGGGUCAAGCUGAGAGCUCUGCGGUUCACCCAGGAGAGGUGCACAAGAAAAUCCAGACUUUCGUCCGCAAAUAUCUUUUGUGCGAGAGGUGCGGACUGACAGACUAUGGAUGUUAGCUUUUCAGCCUACGUUUUGCCCUGCGGACUAUGCAUUGAGCGCCAACUAUCCAAACGAAACUUAUUUUUUAGGCAAAAUUGGCUCCUAGGGUCUUUAGACCGGAAAAUACAGUACAUUAAAGCACUUGUUGCUUACGCUAGAAAGUUAAACGAACCCUGCCGUCAGUGUUCACUGUCUUUUGAGCCAUAACUUCCCUGUCAAUCAUGUUCGGGAACCGACAGUUGGAGCUCAGUCAUUAAAAUCAGCAUAACAUGCUGAUGGUAAUUUAACAGAAAGGGCUUUCGCACCGUCCUCCCUGGAAAUUAUUUCGCGCGCCUAAUUUUUCUCUGUUUCCCCAGACCUACAGAAGGGCUCUUUAUGUCCCUCUGUCCGGUGGUGGUCGCAAGCGAGGCCUGCACCGUUAUUGCCAUCACCAUAGUCUGAAGACCUACAGCAGGGCUCUGUCUGGCUCUGCGUCGCUCUGUCCAGUGGUGGUUGCAAGCGAGGCCUGCACCGUAAUUGCCAUCACCAUACUCUGAAGACCUACAGCAGGGCUCUGCCUGGCUCUGCGUCCCUCUGUCCAGUGGUGGUCGCAAGCGAGGCCUGCACCGUAAUUGCCAUCACCAUAGUCUGAAGACCUACAGCAGGGCUCUGCCUGGCUCUGCGUCCCUCUGUCCAGUGGUGGUCGCAAGCGAGGCCUGCACCGUAAUUGCCAUCACCAUAGUCUGAAGAAGCUACUCUCUCGCACAAACGAUCUGGAGCCUGGCUUUCUCCAAGACAUCACUGAUGGGAAGCUCUAUGGAGAGUCCAAUUUUUUUAUUGCUGAUGGACUCUGUAAGGGCAACUAUAACACAACUGGUACCCGAGAUACCCGAUGACCAACUUGACGCACUGGUGACCCACCUUGUGGAGGAGGGAUACAGUACAGCAAAAGACCUUCUAUACUUGGAAGAACAGGACUUAAAGCCUUUCCUCAAGACCUUGCAUAUCAGGAAGCUUUUACAUCUCAUAAAAUCUGGGUCCCAACUGCAAACUGAAAACUGUGCACUUCCCUCAACAUCAGCAGCUUCAACACCGACAAACCCAGCGGCAGCCACGGCUCACCGCGCAUCACAAGAGAGGGCUUCGAAGGACCGCUGGGCGAGUUCUUUUGAAGUGGAUUGGGGCGCAAUGCCUGCAGAUCUGGUACGAACCUGCCAAGAGGAGAAGGUGCCAGAGCCUUACCUAAGACGAAAGAUGGUCAAACUCCUGGGAGAAGCAAUCGCAGUGCAUGAUCCGAAACCCAAAAUCAAAGAAGUAAGCAAGAUUGCCUCCCUGGUUGUGGCAAGAUACCCACACUCCUUUGCUGACGUGAUGUCGACAGGAAAUAUUAUUGGUGACGGUACGUCAUCUUUAUCACGACAACUUGCUGUAUACAUGGAUAACAGGCGUCGGCCACACAAUGCUGCAAAACGAGGGCCGGGAAGAACUGAAGAUGACGAACCAGAAGCGACAUUAUCUAAGCAAGGCAGACAAACAGACUCCCACGGUUGCGUGGCAUGGGAGCCAGACUGUGCGCCAUACACGUGGGACGAUCUAGAGGUAAUGAGGCAGCAGCUGUGCAAAGCCACCAAUUUAGAGGAGAUCUCCUCUACUAUGAAGAAAACCUACGCACUGCAGAGGAGGCACAUCAACUCCAUGCAGCAAACACUCCUUGAAAUUGCGGAGUCUUGGCCUCACCUCUUCAAAGAGCCACACUUCUUCGUUCAUGUUGAUACACUCCUUGGGUUUUCCUACCACACUGCCUUCACCACUGAGCUGACGUCGAAAGGAAAUCAGCUCUUUGAUGUCAUGUGGAGAGCAUGGAAGCCUCAGUCAAGGUCCCUCCUCCAGACAAUCCAGAAAACUUUGGACUGCAAUGGACAAGCGCCACCACGCUACACCUUUGUUCUUCAGCUCCUGACUACCUACUUCGACGAGAAUCCAGAGGCUCUCAUCUCAUUUCACCCGCACUGAACAGCUGCCAGUGUUCUUGGCUCCUGCCCAGAUACACCUCACCUUGCGGUCCUUGGUUCUACGCUUCUAGAUGACCCUCUCCAGAUUGCGCUGGUUGUUGACAGGGUGCUUGUGUUUGAGGCAAGCAGUCUCGAGGUCGCUCUCUGCUCGCUCCUGGGAGCGUAUUUCGUCUUCAACAUCAAGUACCCAAAGGAGGCCUCGUACACGCUGGAGUUCCUUCAGAGGCAUUUUGGCCAGAUAAACCCAUCUAAAGGUAGCAAGUCCAGCUCCCGUGGUCACAACAAGGUCAAUGGAAUCCCAGCCAGAAUUCUAGGUCUGCUGAACAAGAUUCGUUCACUCUAAUGGCUUCCUCAGAUGAAAGCGUAGGCUGGGGUCCUGACAAGUCAUUCUUUUUUUAACUGGUCCGGGCACAUCGUUUUUAUUGAAGGUUUUCUGCACGUAAAGCGCAAGAUGGAGCGUGGACAAGUUUUUUGUUGUUUUAAUCGUCCAAGGCAUGGAGUUUUACUGAAGGUUUCCUCAGACGAGAGCGUAAGCUGGGGUCCGGACAAGCUGUUAUUUUUUUUUUUUUAAACGGCCCGGGCACGUUGUUUUAUUGAAGGUUUUCUGCACGUAAAGCGCAAGAUGGAGCGUGGACAAGUUUUUUUGUUUUUUUAAUCGUCCAAGGCAUGGAGUUUUAUUGAAGGUUUCUUCAGAUGAAAGCGUAGACUGGGGUCCGAACAAGGUGUUCUUCUUUUAACUGGCC